rnacentral:rRNA from 1 species
UACGGAGGGGGCUAGCGUUGUUCGGAAUUACUGGGCGUAAAGCGCGCGUAGGCGGGCCUGCAAGUCGGGGGUGAAAGCCCGAGGCUCAACCUCGGAACUGCCUUCGAUACUGCGGGUCUCGAGUCCGGGAGAGGGUAGUGGAAUUCCCGGUGUAGUGGUGAAAUGCGUAGAUAUCGGGAGGAACACCAGUGGCGAAGGCGACUACCUGGCCUGUUCUUGACGCUGAGGCGCGAAAGCUAGGGGAGCAAACGGG